CGCGUAGACGGAUCUGUAAGUCAGAUGUGAAAUACCGGGGCUCAACCCCGGGGCUGCAUUUGAAACUAUGGAUCUUGAGUGCAGGAGAGGGAAGCGGAAUUCCUAGUGUAGCGGUGAAAUGCGUAGAUAUUAGGAGGAACACCAGUGGCGAAGGCGGCUUUCUGGACUGUAACUGACGUUGAGGCGCGAAAGCGUGGGUAGCAAACA
rnacentral:rRNA from 1 species